AUGAAAUUGUUUGUUUGUGCUUUGCCAAUACCUUCUAAUUGCCCCUCAGGGGAUUCAUCAAGUCAUAUUGAAUUGCACACAUUACACUGAUAGAUUAUACACCACACACAGAACCACAGCACUGUGGAGAAAUUGCCUUUCAGAUGAAACAUUAUUCAACAAUAUAAACGUUAAAGAAUAGGAAAAUAAACACUUCCCCUUGUUAUAGUAUUAUUAUGUUUUCAUAACACUAAUGUUAAGGGAGAAGAAAAGGUUAUCAGUACACACACCCGAGGCUCAUAACUAAACACAUCAUAACAGCAGUUAAAUAGUCAUAGCACUUUGACAUCUGUUCAAGUAAAAAAAAUGUAAAAAGUUUAUAAAUACAUUUGAUUGAAAUAACCGAUAUUUGUGACAAUUAUGUCUGCAUAUUAACCCAGACUUCUGUUUGAACAACUAACUUGUAGCCUGACAAAUAUGGAUGGCCCAGGGAGGUUUCCUGUAAAAGAUUAGGGAAGGGAAAGGUGAUACCUAGUUAGUGGCAGAUUCAACCCGAAAGGUUUCUUCCUCAUUUAACCCAACCCCUCUGAAUCAGAGAGGUGCUGGGGCUGCCAUAAUCCACAUCCACGUCUUCCUGUAUUUAACCCAACCCUUCUGAAUCAGAGAGGUGCUGGGGCUGCCAUAAUCCACGUCUUCCUCAUUUAACCCAACCCCUCUGAAUCAGAGAGGUGCUGGGGCUGCCAUAAUCCACGUCUUCCUCAUUUAACCCAACCCCUCUGAAUCAGAGAGGUGCUGGGGCUGCCAUAAUCCACGUCUUCCUCAUUUAACCCAACCCCUCUGAAUCAGAGAGGUGCUGGGGCUGCCAUAAUCCACGUCUUCCUCAUUUAACCCAACCCCUCUGAAUCAGAGAGGUGCUGGGGCUGCCAUAAUCCACGUCUUCCUCAUUUAACCCAACCCCUCUGAAUCAGAGAGGUGCUGGGGCUGCCAUAAUCCACGUCUUCCUCAUUUAACCCAACCCCUCUGAAUCAGAGAGGUGCUGGGGCUGCCAUAAUCCACGUCUUCCUGUAUUUAACCCAACCCCUCUGAAUCAGAGAGGUGCUGGGGCUGCCAUAAUCCACGUCUUCCUCAUUUAACCCAACCCUUCUGAAUCAGAGAGGUGCGGGGGCUGCCAUAAUCCACGUCUUCCUGUAUUUAACCCAACCCCUCUGAAUCAGAGAGGUGCGGGGGCUGCCAUAAUCCACGUCUUCCUCAUUUAACCCAACCCUUCUGAAUCAGAGAGGUGCUGGGGCUGCCAUAAUCCACGUCUUCCUCAUUUAACCCAACCCUUCUGAAUCAGAGAGGUGCUGGGGCUGCCAUAAUCCACGUCUUCCUCAUUUAACCCAACCCCUCUGAAUCAGAGAGGUGCUGGGGCUGCCAUAAUCCACGUCUUCCUCAUUUAACCCAACCCCUCUGAAUCAGAGAGGUGCUGGGGCUGCCAUAAUCCACGUCUUCCUCAUUUAACCCAACCCUUCUGAAUCAGAGAGGUGCGGGGGCUGCCAUAAUCCACAUCUUCCUGUAUUUAACCCAACCCCUCUGAAUCAGAGAGGUGCUGGGGCUGCCAUAAUCCACGUCUUCCUGUAUUUAACCCAACCCUUCUGAAUCAGAGAGGUGCUGGGGCUGCCAUAAUCCACGUCUUCCUCAUUUAACCCAACCCCUCUGAAUCAGAGAGGUGCUGGGGCUGCCAUAAUCCACGUCUUCCUGUAUUUAACCCAACCCCUCUGAAUCAGAGAGGUGCUGGGGCUGCCAUAAUCCACGUCUUCCUCAUUUAACCCAACCCCUCUGAAUCAGAGAGGUGCUGGGGCUGCCAUAAUCCACGUCUUCCUGUAUUUAACCCAACCCCUCUGAAUCAGAGAGGUGCUGGGGCUGCCAUAAUCCACGUCUUCCUCAUUUAACCCAACCCCUCUGAAUCAGAGAGGUGCUGGGGCUGCCAUAAUCCACGUCUUCCUCAUUUAACCCAACCCCUCUGAAUCAGAGAGGUGCUGGGGCUGCCAUAAUCCACGUCUUCCUGUAUUUAACCCAACCCCUCUGAAUCAGAGAGGUGCUGGGGCUGCCAUAAUCCACGUCUUCCUGUAUUUAACCCAACCCCUCUGAAUCAGAGAGGUGCUGGGGCUGCCAUAAUCCACGUCUUCCUGUAUUUAACCCAACCCCUCUGAAUCAGAGAGGUGCUGGGGCUGCCAUAAUCCACGUCUUCCUGUAUUUAACCCAACCCCUCUGAAUCAGAGAGGUGCUGGGGCUGCCAUAAUCCACGUCUUCCUGUAUUUAACCCAACCCCUCUGAAUCAGAGAGGUGCGGGGGCUGCCAUAAUCCACAUCCAAAACACCCAGGGAGCAGUUGUUGGGGGUUAACUGCCUUGCUCAAAAGGCAGAACGGUACAUUUUUAAAACCACCCUUUCGGUUACUGGCCCAACGCUUUUAACAGCUAGGCUACCUGCCGCUGUCUGUUCUUGAUUGACAUACAGUACUUAUGCCUGGUUCCUCAUGAUUGAUCUGCACUGAGCAAUCGGUGCCAUCAACGAGAGUGCACUCAGGUAUGGAUGGCCCAGAGAGGUUUAACAGUUCAGGGUAAUACUGAGUGCUGAGUGACGCAGGUGAAAGUAAAACACAAGCUGAUUACAAGCUAUCAGGAAGUACUGUAUCUUACCCAUCAAACUGUUUUCACAUUAAAACCACCACCUCUUUUGUGUACGUGUGUGUCUGUGUAGGGCGGUGUUGCUAAUACUGUCAUCGGGGUACAUCAGUUUGCGGAUCGUAGCUCUGGAGGAGCAGCUGAGUUCUCUAGGAGCCCUGCCGGAGUUCUCCAUACACCUCAGAGAGGAACAGGAAACAGCCUGAAGAGACCUACAGCCAGGGAGGAUUGGCCAUUUGGAUAUUCUGGCAAAUACCAGACGGGCUGGACCAUUUUUUUGUUGGGUGGGCUGGUUGAAAAUGGACACUUUUUUUACUAUAUUUUUUUUUGUUUAGCGUAGAAAAAGGUGACAUGGCCAGUGGCCUAUGAGCUUGUUAAGAUAGAAAUUGUUUUUAAAAUAAAUAAAUACAUUUUUUUUUUUUAAACAAAUGUAAUCGCUGUUAUGCUAAUAUGCCCAGAGUAUACAAAACAUUGAGAUGGACCGGCCCGGUUUUCUGCAAGGCUGAGGUCACACAAACUCACCUUGAAAGUCAAACACAGCAUCAGCAAAGAUGACCUGCUUCAACUCUGUCAUCAGUUAGACACCCAAGAUCAUGGAUCAUAAAAAAAAUGAAAAGGGUGCCUGUAAACGUUGAAAGAGCAUAUUCUACAUUGUCACUUCACUGAAAAACAUCCUAAUUUUGGGACAGCUAAAGAAAUGAUCUUGCCAAACAGUGAAGUGCAUUAUCCUCAUGAUUCCUGUAAUGAAAGUGUCUUCUUCCCUGUGCCCUCGCUGGGGCCUACUGCUGUGGUGAGCGAGCCACUCUCCUCUCCUUCCGUGCACUCGAGAGAAACAUUUAUUCUGAUCAUAUAACAUUUCAAAAUGAAAUUGCAGGAAAAAAACACAGCUUUGGAAGCUUCAUCCAAUUGUCCCUGUUGAAGAGAGGAGGGUUUCAGCUUUCUGUUGGUAUAAUCUUUAUUUCUCAACUCUCAUUAGCAACUAUUUUACAAUCAAGACAUUUUAUAUGGCUUUGAGAUAUGGAGUGGAGUGUGCUCAAAACAUGCACCAGCAUAGGCCUCAUGGGUAGUAGCCUACAACUGAGCCUUUUUUAGGACAUUACAUUUACGGUUGGAUGAAUACAUGGCUACUAGCAGUGGGUAUCACAGGCGGCUGGUGGCACCUUAAUUGUGGAAGACGGCUCAUAGUAAUGGCUACAACGGAGUUAAUGGAAUGGUAUCAAAGGCAUCAAAAACAUUGUUGUUUCCAAGUGCUUGAUACCAUUCCAUUUACGGCAUUCCAGCCAUCUUUAUGAGCCAUCCUCCCCUCACUAGCCUCCGGUGGUGGGUAAUAUAUUUAGAGUUUCAUCUAAUUAAUGCGUUUUGAGUUUCCACUUCCUCAGGUGUUGAACCACAAAUGAAUUAGCCUAUGAUUUUAGGUAGUGCACAUAAAACAUGUAAUUCAUCUCUCUGGAACAAAAAAACAAACAAAUAUGGAUAUUCUGGAAUCCUAUUUUGACAGUAAAAUAGCAACUAUAGUCUAAUUGUCAACCCAAAAUUCAUGACAAUCACUGGUUUUGCACAUCAAAAUAUCUUGAAUCAUGCUUAGACAUGUUUCUUGAGCUAGUGGCGUGCGCAGUGGUGGGCCAAUGUGAAUGAAAUGGCAGAGGAAAAUUAUUUUCCCAGUCCGCCCCUGCCUACAGUAGGAAGACUAUAAAUACCAAAGCCACAGUACAACAAACUACAGUAUAUAAAGGGUCUCAGUUAAAAUGUAAUCUCAUGAGCUGGGCAAUUGUUAAUAUAUAUUUAUGUGGGUCCCCUGAUCAUUUGAGGAGACAGAUCACUAAAACCUCAUAUGGAAAACCUUGACUUCACACAAAGCAGCUUUUGUUGUUUGUUGCUAGCCUAUAUUUCAUAGGAUAUCUUGUUUUGUUUGUUGCUAGCCUAUAUUUCAUAGGAUAUCUUGUUUUGUUUGUUGUUAGCCUAUAUUUCAUAGGAUAUCUUUUGUUUGUUGCUAGCCUAUAUUUCAUAGGAUAUCUUGUUUUGUUUGUUGCUAGCCUAUAUUUCAUAGGAUAUCUUGUUUUGUUUGUUGCUAGCCUAUAUUUCAUAGGAUAUCUUGUUUUGUUUGUUGCUAGCCUAUAUUUCAUAGGAUAUCUUUUUUAUUUUUUAUUUUUUAUCAGUCAGUCCACUCCUAAAAUCUAUUUGGUUUAUGGCACUAUUUGUUGGUCUCAGCUUAACUGGUAAUGAAUAGGUUGUUCUCUUUGUAAAGGAAUAAUGUGAAGUGACUUUAAUCUGAAAUUUGCUGGCAAAUAAAAUUAUUUAAUGACAA